rnacentral:rRNA from 1 species
UACGUAGGGCGCAAGCGUUAUCCGGAAUUAUUGGGCGUAAAGAGCUCGUAGGCGGUUUGUCGCGUCUGCCGUGAAAGUCCGGGGCUCAACUCCGGAUCUGCGGUGGGUACGGGCAGACUAGAGUGAUGUAGGGGAGACUGGAAUUCCUGGUGUAGCGGUGAAAUGCGCAGAUAUCAGGAGGAACACCCGUGGCUAAGGCGGCUCUCUAGUACGGUACUGACGCUGAGACGCGAAAGCGUGGGGAGCGAACAGG